UUCUCCGAUGACGACGACGAUGUAAAAAAUUACUUUCGUUCUUCUCAAGUUGCAAUGUGGAAGAAUAAUUUGGAGACCUUGCUGGGAGAA